rnacentral:rRNA from 1 species
AGGAAGAGAAAGAAAUUCGAUUCCGUAAGUAGCGGCGAGCGAACGCGGAUUAGCCCAAACCAAUAAAGUUUUCUUUAUUGGGGUUGCGGACAUAUCAUAACGGAGAGGUAUCGUAAUUGAAGAGGUUUGGAAAGACCCACCACAGAAGGUAAUAGUCCUGUAUGUUAAACGAGAAGACUUUAGAUAUGAUCCAGAGUACCACGGG